CAGCCGCCGCGGUAAUCCGUAGGUCCCGAGCGUUGUCCUGAAUUACUGGGCGUAAGCGUGCGCAGGCGGUUGUGUAAGACAGGUGUGAAAUCCCCGGGCUUAACCUGGGAACUGCGCUUGUGACUGCACAGCUAGAGUAUGGCAGAGGGGGGUGGAAUUCCACGUGUAGCAGUGAAAUGCGUAGAGAUGUGGAGGAACACCGAUGGCGAAGGCAGCCCCCUGGGCCAAUACUGACGCUCAUGCACGAAAGCGUGGGGAGCAAACAGGAUUAGAUACCCCAGUAGUCCCUGUCUCUUAUACA
rnacentral:rRNA from 1 species